rnacentral:tRNA from 1 species
UAAAUAGGCGGGCCUUGAUCCCACAAAACUAGUUA